CCCUACGGGAGGCAGCAGUGGGGAAUAUUGGGCAAUGGGGGAAACCCUGACCCAGCGACGCCGCGUGAGGGAAGAAGGUUUUCGGAUUGUAAACCUCUGUCCUUGGUGACGAUAAUGACGGUAGCCAAGGAGGAAGCCACGGCUAACUACGUGCCAGCAGCCGCGGUAAUACGUAGGUGGCGAGCGUUGUCCGGAUUUACUGGGUGUAAAGGGAGCGUAGACGGCGGCGCAAGUCCGGAGUGAAAGCCCACGGCCCAACCGUGGGACUGCUCUGGAAACUGUGCGGCUUGAGUGCGGGAGGGGCG
rnacentral:rRNA from 1 species